CCUACGGGUGGCAGCAGUGAGGAAUAUUGGUCAAUGGGCGCGAGCCUGAACCAGCCAAGUCGCGUGAGGGAUGAAGGUUCUAUGGAUCGUAAACCUCUUUUAUAAGGGAAUAAAGUGUGGGACGUGUCCUAUGUUGUAUGUACCUUAUGAAUAAGGAUCGGCUAACUCCGUGCCAGCAGCCGCGGUAAUACGGAGGAUCCGAGCGUUAUCCGGAUUUAUUGGGUUUAAAGGGUGCGUAGGCGGCCUGUUAAGUCAGCGGUGAAAGGCUGUGGCUCAACCAUAGAAUUGCCGUUGAAACUGGGAGGCUUGAGUAUGUUUGAGGCAGGCGGAAUGCGUGGUGUAGCGGUGAAAUGCUUAGAUAUCGCGCAGAACACCGAUUGCGAAGGCAGCCUGCCAGGCCAUGACUGACGCUGAUGCACGAAAGCGUGGGGAUCAAACAGGAUUAGAUACCCGUGUAGUC
rnacentral:rRNA from 1 species